UGGACCCUGAGGAGCUCUUCACCAAGCUCGACCGCAUUGGCAAGGGCUCGUUUGGGGAGGUCUACAAGGGCAUCGAUAACCACACAAAGGAGGUGGUGGCCAUCAAGAUCAUCGACCUGGAGGAGGCCGAGGAUGAGAUCGAGGACAUCCAGCAGGAGAUCACUGUCCUCAAGCACCAAGCUAUGGAUCAUCAUGGAGUACCUGGGCGGCGGCUCAGCACUGGACUUGCUUAAACCAGGUCCCCUGGAGGAGACAUACAUUGCCACGAUCCUGCGGGAGAUUCUGAAGGGCCUGGAUUAUCUGCACUCCGAACGCAAGAUCCACCGAGACAUCAAAGGUCCUGCUGGGGGUGGAUGUGGCUCUUGUAACGUCCUGAGCCCCACUGACCUUAGAGAGGCCGGGGCCUGUGAGGGGCAAGUGGCUAGUGGUGCCCAGGGUCUGGAGUAUAGAGAACCUUGUGGCC
rnacentral:lncRNA from 1 species